rnacentral:rRNA from 1 species
GACAGAGGGUGCAAACGUUGUUCGGAAUUACUGGGCGUAAAGGGUGCGUAGGCGGCAGCGCAAGUCAGGUGUGAAAUCCCGGGGCUCAACCCCGGAACUGCACUUGAUACUGCGUUGCUUGAGUACUGGAGAGGAGACUGGAAUUUACGGUGUAGCAGUGAAAUGCGUAGAUAUCGUAAGGAAGACCAGUGGCGAAGGCGAGUCUCUGGACAGUUACUGACGCUGAGGCACGAAGGCCAGGGGAGCAAACGGG